rnacentral:rRNA from 1 species
AAGUAACACGUGGGUAACCUGCCCAUCAGAAGGGGAUAACACUUGGAAACAGGUGCUAAUACCGUAUAACAAUCGAAACCGCAUGGUUUUGAUUUGAAAGGCGCUUUCGGGUGUCGCUGAUGGAUGGACCCGCGGUGCAUUAGCUAGUUGGUGAGGUAACGGCUCACCAAGGCCACGAUGCAUAGCCGACCUGAGAGGGUGAUCGGCCACAUUGGGACUGAGACACGGCCCAAACUCCUACGGGAGGCAGCAGUAGGGAAUCUUCGGCAAUGGACGAAAGUCUGACCGAGCAACGCCGCGUGAGUGAAGAAGGUUUUCGGAUCGUAAAACUCUGUUGUUAGAGAAGAACAAGGAUGAGAGUAACUGUUCAUCCCUUGACGGUAUCUAACCAGAAAGCCACGGCUAACUACGUGCCAGCAGCCGCGGUAAUACGUAGGUGGCAAGCGUUGUCCGGAUUUAUUGGGCGUAAAGCGAGCGCAGGCGGUUUCUUAAGUCUGAUGUGAAAGCCCCCGGCUCAACCGGGGAGGGUCAUUGGAAACUGGGAGACUUGAGUGCAGAAGAGGAGAGUGGAAUUCCAUGUGUAGCGGUGAAAUGCGUAGAUAUAUGGAGGAACACCAGUGGCGAAGGCGGCUCUCUGGUCUGUAACUGACGCUGAGGCUCGAAAAGCGUGGGGAGCAAACAGGAUUAGAUACCCUGGUAGUCCACGCCGUAAA